rnacentral:rRNA from 1 species
UACGUAGGGGGCUAGCGUUGUCCGGAUUUAUUGGGCGUAAAGAGCGUGUAGGCGGCCAGGUAGGUCCGCUGUGAAAGUCCGAGGCUCAACCUCGGAAUGUCGGCGGAAACCCUCUGGCUAGAGUCCGGAAGAGGAGAGUGGAAUUCCCGGUGUAGCGGUGAAAUGCGCAGAUAUCGGGAAGAACACCCGUGGCGAAGGCGGCUCUCUGGAACGGUACUGACGCUGAGACGCGAAAGCGUGGGGAGGCGAAACAGG